rfam:Felis catus isolate Cinnamon breed Abyssinian chromosome B4, whole genome shotgun sequence.
GCCUGGGUGGCUCAGUCGGUUAAGCAUCUGACUUCGGCUCAGGUCAUGAUCUCACGGUUUGUGAGUUCGAGCCCCGUGUCAGGCU